rnacentral:rRNA from 1 species
AACGAACGCUGGCGGCAUGCCUAACACAUGCAAGUCGAACGAGACCGUCGGGUCUAGUGGCGCACGGGUGCGUAACGCGUGGGAACCUGCCCUUAGGUUCGGAAUAACUCCCCGAAAGGGGUGCUAAUACCGGAUAAUGUCUUCGGACCAAAGAUUUAUCGCCUUUGGAUGGGCCCGCGUUGGAUUAGCUAGUUGGUAGGGUAAAAGCCUACCAAGGCGACGAUCCAUAGCUGGUCUGAGAGGAUGAUCAGCCACACUGGGACUGAGACACGGCCCAGACUCCUACGGGAGGCAGCAGAGGGGAAUAUUGGACAAUGGGCGAGAGCCUGAUCCAGCGAUGCCGCGUGAGUGAUGAAGGCCUUAGGGUUGUAAAUCUCUAGUAACCGGGAUGAUAAUGACAGUACCGGGAGAAUAAGCUCCGGCUAACUCCGUG